UUCACAGAUGAAGUGCUCUGAGAACCCACAAUGACUGGUUAUUCCAAAUUCCUGCUAACUUGCCAUAGCCUGAUGGAAGGCAUGAGUCCUCAGUGUAGUUUCUGGUAACUCAGUGCCUGUUGUUACUACUUACAACAGUAAAAGGAGAAUCCUGAAGUACUGACACCGCAGUUCUGGGAUUCAGGUGCUGGAUGAUGCUGGAGGGGGCAUUUGGGCAACCAGGAGGAGACACGCAAGGCUUGGUAUUACAGCUGGGAGCCAAUUUACUUCUAUCUGCCCAAGCUUGCUGCAGGCAAAAGGAUGGGUUCAAGGUUGUAUGCAAGAGAUAAUCAGAAUAAAUGCUCCCAGCAACAGCACCAUGAGGAACAGAUUGUGUAGAAAGUACAAACAUAGGGACAAUUUAGGCAAUGUUCAUGGUGACUAGAUGCCUGCAAGUGAAGAUCACUGAUUCUCUAUGAGCAAUGCCACCUCCUGAUGUCCUGGAUCAGGCCUAGGAGAAAGACCUUUCCUGCAUCAGAUUAAAGAAAUAAUAAAAAUGCACUGAAACCCACACAGACACAAGAACUGCUUCCUGUUUGUGUGACUGUUACGAUCGAGCACUGUUUCAUUAUUGCUUUUCAAGUCUACAAAAAUAAACUAAUUGGUCCUCUUGAGCAUCAGUGAAAUUACUGGAAAUUGUAGAUGUCCUACUCCAAUUUGUGAAAGAAAUGCCACAUGUAAGCACCAAUUCUAAAAUUUUGGUUAUGGUAUCUUGUGCAAGCUCCAGGGUUGAAGACCAUGGAACUGCAUCUAGCAAAAGAGAGUUUUAUAGCAUAGGAACUACAGCACGACAUCCUUGUUCAACAUGGUUCAACCGCAGCCUGAACAGUGGUGCCACUGGGGGAAAAUAGCUCAGAUUCUCAUAAAACGUUUGCAAAAAAUGCUGAGAGAGCUGGAAAUGUUGCUGGUGAUAUGAAGUGGAGAGCAGAAUAGAUUCCCUCAUCUAUUUCCCACAGCUGAUAAACAGUAAUGCCCUUCAGUCUCUCCCCAGCUGGCCCAGCUUCAGAUGAGUAGCGCAGUAAUGAAAGCCUCCAUAUCCUAUUAGCAGUUCUCAGCCCAUCCGUAGCUCGUUGGAGAGAUGCCUGCUCCGAGCUGAGAUGGAUGGCUUCCUCCAUAAUGAAAACAGAGUGAGGAGCAAGACUGCACAAGCAAGACCUGCUUCUGUCUCAUCCCUGUGCAGGAGGAACGAUACUUGCAGGGGGGAGUUUUGGCCCUCUGUCUCACAGCCAGCUCUGAGGACUGUCCUGAAGGCUACUCCUCACACCAAGCCUCUUACAAGAGUGAUUAAACUGCAUGACUUAGGCUAUGGCAUCCGGAAAACAAGCAAAUACACAAUGUGCCUGCAAUUCAAAUUUUGACAUCCAUGUAUACUGCCUGGAGCUGGCAUCUGCUACAAGAAACACUGUGGAGAAAAGGGCAAAAAAGUAGGUGUUGAAACGUCAUUAUUCUGCAACUUCUUGUGUAGUACCUGACCAAAUUCUUCAAGUAGCUGGUGACCUUAUGGAAAAAUACUAUAAUUCAGGGAAGGCACUACACGCUAUGUUUGGUCAACACUGCUUACCCUCAGUGAAACUAAACACUUCCAAGGCCCAGAUGAUUGUGGACAUCAGGGGGCCAGCCCUACCUCUCAAUCAGACCGAAGGGCAUAGGAGAUUCUUACCCUCUCCUCUGCCCUGGUUUUCAUGUG